UUUCCGUAGGUGAACCUGCGGAAGGAUCAUUAAAAAAUGUGGUACCAUUAUUGGUACUAAUUAAUCAUCCUACCCUUUGUGAAUUUGUUUGUAUCGAAUUUUUUUAAAUGGGUCUUUCCCUAAGUUGGAUUGUUAGUAAAAUACAAAAAGACUUAGGGGAAUGACUUUUUUAAAAGACUUUUUUUUUAAUUAAAACUUUUUGUAUUCAUUUGUCUAAAAUUUAUUUUUAUAAUAUAAAAACAACUUUUGACAAUGGAUCUCUUGGUUCUCGCAACGAUGAAGAACGCAGCAAAAUGCGAUAAGUAGUGUGAAUUGCAGAAUACGUGAAUCAUCGAAUCUUCGAACGCAUAUUGCACUUUUUUAGUUUACUAAAAAGUAUGUCUGUUUGAGUAUCAGUAAAAUAUUCUCACAAAAACAAUUUGUUUUUUGUGGUUAUGAGUGUUUUACAACGAUAAACAAGUUGUUUCACUUUAAAUUCUUUUUAAUUGAAUUUUACCAAUUCAUAAAUUAAAAUUGGAUAAAAUUUUCCUUUAACGAGGAAUAACCUAAACAAUUUUAAAUUUUAUGGAUUAAUAAACAUUCAUCAAAGGAAUCUAUACAACAAAUAACUUGAUCUCAAAUCAGAUAAGAGUACCCGCUGAACUUAAGCAUAUCAAUAAGCGGAGGAAAAGAAACUAACAAGGAUUCCCUUAGUAACGGCGAGUGAAGCGGGAAGAGCUCAAAUUUGAAAUCUUCAAGGUUUGACCUUGACGAAUUGUAGUUUAUAGAAGUGUUUUCUGUUGGAGUUUUGGUAAAAGUUCUUUGGAAUAGGACAUCAUAGAGGGUGAGAAUCCCGUAUUUGACCAUGACUUUCCAGCUGUGUGAUACACUUUCAAAGAGUCGGAUUGUUUGGGAAUGCAGUCCAAAAUGGGUGGUAAAUUUCAUCUAAAGCUAAAUAUUGGCGAGAGACCGAUAGCGAACAAGUACCGUGAGGGAAAGAUGAAAAGAACUUUGAAAAGAGAGUUAAACAGUACGUGAAAUUGUCAAAAGGGAAGCGUUUGACACCAGUGUUGUUUUCUCGAAAAUCAAUUUAAUGAGUUCUUGUUUUUAAGUUAUUGUGACUUUAUCAGCGCAUUUCUUAUUUUACCUGACUCAUUGAAUGCACUUUUCGUUUAACAAGUCAACAUCAAUUUCUUUGGUGGUAAAAAGUUUAAAGGAAGGUGGCUUGGACUUCGGUUCAAGUGUUUAUAGCCUUUUUUCUAUGCCAUCGGAGAGAUUGAGGUCUGCAGCGUAGAUCCUUCGGGGUUAGAUACCUUUGUGCUAAGUUAUAGUUUUUUAUAGACAACUUGUUGACUAUAAUUAACCCUGUAAUUUACUCGCUUAGGCUAUUU
rnacentral:misc_RNA from 1 species